UAAUAAUACAUUUAAUUUAGAGGCGCCUUUCAAGACACCCAAGGUCACCUUACAGAGCAUAUAGUCAUCAUUCAAAACUAUGUAAAACAGACUAGGAAUAAAAGGAAAACAGAGAAGGAGGAGCAAUGGAGAGAGGAUCAUGAGGGGGAGGAUAGAGUCGAAGAAGAGAGAGAUUUACAUUGAGGGAAUUUACCAGACGCUUUUAUCCAAAGCGACUUGAGGCAACGAAAGAUGAGGAAGAGUAGGAGAGUGGACAGCUUGUGAGGAGGAGGGAGGAGGAUGAGGUCAAACAAUUGUGACUUCAGUGAAACGCGAUACAAAAGGUGUCUCUUGCACGUUAUUGUGUGUAUUAUGCUAAAUAAAGCACUCUUGUCAUGUGUUUCAUGACAUUAGUUAACAGGUAAACACACAUGAUAAGAUUUUACCCUAAUUCUGUCUUUUAGCAGACAGCCUAAAGUUAAUUAUUGCCCACAAUCUGCUCAUAGACGCAGGAAGCCAUUGUCUGUUCAUCCGUCUGUCUGCGUUAUUAAAGAAAAGGGAAGGGCGAUUGUUAAGAGAGACGAGCGGAGGAGAAAGUGCAGAAAAGGGGUAAACCAGAGUUGAGAGAAAGGACAGCGGGAGAAGAAGAGAGGCGGGGCAGAUAAGAGACUAGCGUAAAUAAACUGCAAGCCUUCGUGUUACGGUGCUGCUGAUGAAACCCAAUGCAAGCAGAGGAUCACCAGGGCGCUCAGACCAGACCCACGAGAAGUAGAGGAGGCCAAAAGAGUGAACACGCGGACGGUCUGGUCGUUUGGGAGAACAAUGCAGUGACAUGUUUAUCCGGGUGUGUGUGACCACGCGCUGGCCAAUAGGAAUGAGGAAGUGAGAGCUGGAGAGGGAGGGCAGAGUCUAGGCAUGCGGGGCCAUGGCACAAAACAAUGCCCGCUGCCAUGCAGACGUAAACAUUCACCAGUGACUACUUGGUGUGUUGUCGCCGCUGUAAAGGCCCCUUUGGCGACCGUAGCGUGAUGUAAACAUUCACACCGGCCUGUUGGCCUCGAGUUAGAAACCGUGGCGAGCAACACCACAGAAGGCUAUUUCAGAGGGGCGUGGCGUGGAAACAAAAGCUUCCUGGUUCUACUUUGCUUUACCAUCUGCGAUGCAUUCCCCCUGGGACCCAGACACUGUCGUCUUCAGAACCCACCCCACAAUAUUGACUCAUUUCUAGACAUAGCCAGAAUAAAACAGAACAUGGCAACGCUUUGACAUUCAGUUGUUUUGUUUAGUUCCUUUAUGAAUCUGAACAAUAUUCAUACACUUUAACAUGACAAGGAGAUACAACGACACUCAGUGUGGAUUUGCACAUGAAGAGACCUAUGGAGACGCUUGCAGAGCAUCAUACGCUUUUACAAGGGAGCUGUUGUGUGUGGAGUUGAUGUGACAUAACCUCGGACAAAACCGACGUCACAUGUCUCACAUGAAGGCCAAAGUUUCUAUAGAACUCAGGGUCAUUAGCUCCUUGUAACCUCCCCAUAUGCCUAGCUGAAGCCACUGUAAACAGUGGUCCUUCUGGGGAGUGCAUGUCACACAGCUGUUUGGUUGAGACCAGUCAAUAGCAUGCAAACAACCCUGAAGUAUGUCCUGUGGGUAUGGUACACAAGUAUUUGUGGAUAUUGCUGUGCACUGUGUAAAGUAAACCAACUUGUAUACAUAAAUAGACAGAAAUGUGUCAUGCACUGAGUAGAAGACAUUCAUACAGCAAACCAAAAACCCAGCACAGGAACUCACAUUUGUUCAGGGGUUAGUUAGGGUACAAACUGUCCGCUGCCUCUGCGUGUUUAAAUAGCAGACAGAGUGGGGAAAUAGAAACGGGCAUUGUUUGAGCUGAACAAAAGAGUCUUCCAACCUCCUCACCCUAAAGCUCUCUAUAGUGGUUCUAUAGGACGAGCCUACUAUACCAGAAGCCCUGCUCCGAACAGUGACAACAGACCCGGCCCAGCCUUUAAACAAUUCGUUAGAAACACGUCGUAAGAAACACACUGGAGUAUUGAUGCUUAUUUGGAAACAACCUUUGAAGGGAUGCUUGCAGCAGGGCCAGGACAUAAACGUUAGGACCUUUGAAAAUAUACGGUCCACUGCUACUAAACUACAGAAGUAACAUUUUUAGAAAAACAAUUCGACAAAAACAAUCAGAUGUCCAGACCUGGAAAUCCGUCAAUCGGACGACCAUAAUAGACUCGGUUGGCAGCACGCAAAGAGUGGAGCAGCGUGGAGUGGUCGCGCGUGGCUAACCGACCGAAGGGGGGCUGGAGGGUGGAGGGGUGGGUGGUGGGCUGUCGGUGAAGCCAAUUUGCGGAAUUAAGAUCUUAUAGAGGUUGCACGAAGCAUCGUUUUGUAUGAUACCCCAUUCCGUCUAAAAACCAGAGUGCAUCUGGCGCCGCGUUUGCACAUAUUGGCUGAUCUGGAAGAAAGGAAUAGGCUACACACUGUCCUCUCCGUGUCCUUGCAGCUGGCAGACAAAGUAACAAGCUUUUCAAUCGCAAAUUUACGUUCCAAUCCUAGUCAUGUCCAAAAGUCGUCCCUAAACUGUCCUAAUAUUUGUUUUUUUGUUUUUAAAAUAAAUAAAUAGACAACUACGAGGUUAAAAGCGGUCCUGUGUUCACAGCUGUACAGCGGACCGCCUGAUCUAAACAACCGGAGAGAGAAACGGUACCAUGGCCGCGCGACCCGCAUGGCACACGCGGGCGAGAAUAGGCACGACAGGGGUUCGCCCGACCCCUCAAAACAUUGCCCAAAUGUUAGCACAAAUGUUUAAUUGCAUCCAUACCAUGUACUCCCGCGAUCCGUGGUAUCAGGUUCAAACAAUCCCAGAGCUCCGAUGCGAAGACUAAAAAAAAUUAGGGGCGCAGCUGGCGCUGCCACCGGAUGUCCAAUAUUAAUAGUUAAUACCGCACACCGCCAGAGAGCAAGGUUUGGUAGCGUCUCCCACCACUCACAGAACACACUGGGCAGCCGCAGAUACACCGCUUCCCACGGAUUAAAACAAGCACAACACUUGGGAGGGAGACGCCAUGGGGUCCAGAAGCGGGAUUACAUCAUGGAACACCAGACAGCGAGACGUACACCUACCGCUCCUAGUCAAACUUCUCCUCUCCCUACCUGCUUACAACAUCUUGCUUAUCAAUGAAAUAACUAAAGUGCACUGUUGAAGGCAUGGUCUGUACUUGUGAUCUCAAGAUCAUAUAUUAUCUACAACCACACACACACACACACACACACACACACACACACACACACACACACACACACACACACACACACACACACACACACACACACACACACACACACACACACACACACAUCUGACACUAUUCAGAGAUGUGUUUUGUGUAUAGAAGCACAAGGCUUUAUUGUUUAUCAGUCUGCUUAGAAAGGAACAAAUCAAUGACAACAAAGAGAGCAUUGACAAAGCCGGAUGUAUCAUGUUUUUAUUUCCACACGUUAUCUGACAAUGCCACUUGACGUCACGCACCACAUCGAUUUUGCACAAGGUAAUUUCUUCUCAACUCGACACACAUUUAGGCUUAUGAUUUUCUGUUACCAUGGUGACCACAACAAAAUUACAAACACCUUUAUGAGUCCAGGACUUAAUUUCGAAAGGAUCGACAGCGCUCCAGUUGUCAUCUAAACACAAGACAUUCAUACACACUAAAACCGUCCAAGAUAUAAAGGCAGGUUUUUCAUUUCUAAACACAAGGCGCAAGAUUUUUCUGCUUUGGACAAACUAAUCUUUACCCCACCCGAAUGUGGCGUAGUAGCGGUACAGUAUUUCCUGUCCUUGUGUUAACCACUGCACUGAUGGGGUGGGGGGGGGGGGGGGGAGAUAUCUUGUCAUGGUCACUCCAUGGUCGGAGGAGAACAGAGGAGAAGGGUAGGGGAGGCGCGGGCAAUCCCUCUGGGACAAAAUGUCACCAACACAACUACGGGCCAACAGAAAUUAACGGAAAAGAUAGAACACAAUUUGGUCUUUCUAAGAAGUAGCUGUAUAUAUUGAUUUUAAGAUUAUUUUUGGCUGAAGCAAAGGUGGUUUUAGAGAGGAACAGGUGGGUGGUAAGUAGUGGUGGUGGUGGGAGUGUGUGUGGGUGGGGGGUGGAGGGGCUGUGAUGCUCGUGGGCAGAUGUUGGGGGACUUGAAACUCCAUGGCUGCCUACGUUCAAGGGAUUUAACAUGCAUAACAAUCCUGGGAUAUGGAGGGUGCUAGCUAACACAGAGUCAGCUACCAAGCAUUAAGCUAAAUAUAGCGUACCGGUUGCUAGAGGAAAUUUAUCCCUGGCACGAUACAGAGGCAUUAGGCUAUUGUAUCCACCAAAUGCACUUAUGCCGAGUGCAUCUGGUGGAUUUAUUUGACCAUUUACAGACUCCAGGUUGGGGAUGGUCUGAUGGAUGGUCCCAGUCACUGGUGUAACCGACAUAGAGGCCUUCUAAAGCAGGAAAAUCUCCUCCUGUGUGUUCCCUGUCGUAUUAAAUAUCUGCAGACCUUAUUUGGACCCAAAUCCUGACUGUCAUUGGUACUUUUUUUAAUUUGUUAUUAUCAAUCGCAUCUCUAUCCUGUCAUCACAGCUAUAGCCAAGUUUGGGUCAAAAGUGAUUUCCUAAUUUUACUUUGGGCCGCACACAUUGGGUUUAGGGGUGGGGACAAGUAGCUGGGGGGGUCAGUAGGAUCUCCAUGGCAACAGGGACCAAUAAUAACAUGACGUGGAUGGGGGUGAAAGAGAAAUGCCGGCUCCGCGAGAUUCUGACGGCUUGGGUCCAAACAUUUACCAGAUAAACGCUUCCCAUGCACCUCAUAAACACACACAUACCCGUUUAGUAAUAUAUUACCUACACACACACAAAGACAUGCAUACGAACCAACAUACACACGCAUACACACACACUUCACAUCCUGUAAGUCAGACUGCAUGAACAUCUCAAGCUCAUGUGAGCGCCUGAAUAAAUACUAAAAGUUAAAUAAAAAAAAGUGUUCCCUGAUGAUAGCCACAUGCUCGCACAAAUGUAAACAAAAUAACUGCAAAAAAAUAACAGACUAUACGUUUCAAAAUAUUUACGCUGAACACGGCCACCAUGAGAGGCUAAGCAACACACAAUGGACCUUAUGUAAAACCAUCACAAAAUAACAUCCUAUACACAACCUUGGCUGGUCACAUCCAACACUACACUAGGGACGUUCCUGCAAUAUUCACAACAACGUUGUGAGGACCUUCAGGGGAAGUGUGAGGGGAAUGACGGUAACAGUGAUGUCAGUACCGAGCGGUGAUUUGUUGAGGAUGAGGGGGAGGGGCUUCAUCUGGAACACCAAGACCGGAAUGACGACAGAUAGUUCCGGGUAUUUAAUACCUGGUAGCCCUGGGGACGGAUCGAUAGAUACAUACAGGAAGAAGAAGAAGAAAGAGAGAGAGAGAUAACAGUUAAUAUUCAAUUUGUUAUAUUUUUGCUCAUGGAUCUAUUUUACACACUUAAACACUGAAUGUUAAAUAAUUAUAUAAGGUGCAAGCAAACAAAAAGGAAAAUUAAAGUAAUGAUUAGUUGAAUGUUAAUUCAUAAAUGGGCUAAUUAUUUUUUUGAUCAAUUAAUGAACGCAUAAAAGAUUUAUGAAUGAAUGAAUGAAUGCCCUAAUUAACCACUAUAUGGAUGAUCUAAUUCAUGAAUUAAAAAAUUAACUAGUACCACAACUAGCCUUGGAACCAGACGAAUGUUCAAGUUAGUGUUUUAUUUGCUCUUCAAUAUGCUACUGGUGCUAUACAGGUGCUAUAGAAUAUACCCCCCCCCCCUUUUCAGCAGCACUGGCCCAGGUCAGGCCAAUCACAACUGUUUAUCUGACGUAUGAUUACGUAACAGAGGAGCACCCUAUGGGAGAGCCAUUGAGGAAACAACCAAGAGGGCAGCAUCACACAUUGAGUUGCUCUGAUUGGUUGUAGGUCUUUACAAUUCAGUCCAGAGUUAUUUUGGUCUGCGGCUGUCGAUAACCCCCCUUGGAAAUCGAGAGUGGUUCCAGUCUAACGCACAUCUGCUAGAGUCAGGUUACUUGUAUCCUCAUUCAUAAACUAAUACAUGAACUUAUUUAUGAAUGAAUGAAUGGUUACUGAAAACUUGGACUAGACUCACCUGGCUCCUUUACUCCCAGAAGUAAAGUAAGUACCAUAUAGUUUCAUUCUUCAGCUGAGGGCCAAACAGAGGGUUGGUCUGGGCCAGAAUUGCUAUCAACCAA